UCUACGGAAGGCAGCAGGAGCGAAAAUUGCCCAAUCCCGACACGGGGAGGCAGUGACGAGAAAUAACAACUCUUGGUUAUUCUAAGAAGUGUAAUGAGGAUAAUUUAAAACCCUUACCGAAAGCAAUUGGAGGGCAAGUCUGGUGCCAGCAGCCGCGGUAAUUCCAGCUCCAAUAGCGUAUAUUAAAGUUGUUGCAGUUAAAAAGCUCGUAGUUGAAGUUCUGGCUGUUCGAUCCUCGAGCUCUGUAGCCGAGGACUCGACAGUCAUCCGCUUGCAAAUAUAUGUUCGCCUUUAACCGGGCGGCUAUAUGAGUAAGCAAUUUACCUUGAGAAAAACAGAGUGUUCCAGGCAGGUUUGUCCGGAAUGCAUUAGCAUGGAAUAAUAGAAUAUGACUGAAGUCGAUUUAUUGGUUUGAGGCUUUAGUAAUGAUUAAUAGGAACAGUCGGGGGCAUUGGUACUUGACAGUCAGAGGUGAAAUUCUAGGAUUUGUCAAAGACUAACAAAUGCGAAAGCAUUUGCCAAGGAUGUUUUCAUUAAUCAAGAACGAAAGUUAGGGGAUCAAAGACGAUCAGAUACCGUCCUAGUCUUAACUAUAAACUAUACCGACUCGGAUUCAGAUGAAUCAUAAAGUUCAUUUGGGACCGUAGGAGAAAUCAAAGUUUUUGGGUUCUGGGGGAAGUAUGGUCGCAAGGCUGAAACUUAAAGGAAUUGACGGUUUUGCACCACCAUGGAGUGGAGUCUGCGGCUUAAUUUGACUCAACACUGGGAAACUCAUCAGGGCAAGAAGAUUGUAGGAUUGACAGAUUGAGAGUUCUUUCUUGAUUGGUCUAGUGGUGGUGCAUGGCCGUUCUUAGUUGGUGGAGUGAUUUGUCUGGUUAAUUCCGUUAACGAACGAGACCUUAACCUGCUAACUAGUACACAGAUGACAAAUCUGUGAUACUUCUUAGAGGGACUAUGUGAUGUAAUCACAUGGAAGUUUGAGGCAAUAACAGGUCUGUGAUGCCCYUAGAUGUCCUGAGCUGCACGCGUACUACAAUGGUGCUUUCAACGAGCUUUUCCUGAUCCGAAAGGAUUUGGGUAAUCUUUUUAGUGAGCACCGUGCUUGGGAUAGAUCUUUGUAAUUAUGGAUCUUGAACUAGGAAUUCCUAGUAAGCGCGCGUCAUCAGCGCGUGCUGAUUACGUCCCUGCAAAAUGUACACACCGCCCGUCGCUAUUACCGAUUGAGUGUAAAGGUGAACCUUCUCGAUAGACGCAAGUCCAGAAAUUAAGUAAACCUUUGCACUUAGAGGAAAUAAAAAG
rnacentral:rRNA from 1 species